rnacentral:lncRNA from 1 species
GACACUAGUACUGGACUGAUUAUUUUGCGGGAUCACGGUCGUCGCAGAAGGACGGUCCAGCCACUUUCGUUGUGGUUGGAUUGAUUUAUGUUAUUUUUUUUAUUAUUUUAUGUUGGUAGGAUUAAUUUGCAUAUUGUCAUUUGAGGACCUUGUUCAGAUUAUUUUCUUUGUAGGGACCUAUCUGUUAUUUUGUGGCCCU